AUGCCAAAACUUGUAAGGAUGGCGGACGAGGAACAUGCUCAAACUUCUAGGAAGAGGGUUGCAGACAAACAAAUCAACAAGGAUCAUCCUGAGCCUGAUGAUGACUCAUCGGAACAAGAGACAGGAACAUUUAAGAAAGCUAGUGAAGAAGUGAUGGCAACCCGGAAGAUUGUAAAGGUUCGGCGUCAGCAGCCAUCAGCAGCUCCUUCUUCAAAUCCUUUCUCUGCAAUUAGAUUCACCCCCAAUGAUUCCAUUGCUCAAGCGAGUAUCACAGUCUCAGAGCCUCCACCUUCUGAUGUUAGCAAUGGCAAGUCCAGUGCCCUAACUGAAGCACCCUCUCAACUUGUUGAGUCAGAUGGCAAGGCAGAAGUUACAGUGGAUGGAACUGGUGAGGACAAAGUGGUUGUUGAAGAACUCAAGGAAGAUAACAGCAAGACAUCUGAAAUUGAGGGCAAAACAAAUGAUGGAGAUGCUGAAGAGAAGAAAGCAGUGGAUGAAGCUGGAGGUGAAGAUAAAGUUAGCAAGGAUGAUGAUGAGAAGAAUGAUGAAGCUGAAUCAGGGACCAAGGAUGGAUCAUCUGAGCAGAAGGACGCUGAUAACAAAGGGCAGUCAUCAUCGCCGACACCUCUUUUCUCCUUCACCAAUCUGUCAAGUGGCCAAAAUGCUUUCACAGGACUGGCUGGAACUGGAUUUUCAGGCUCAUCAUUUUCAUUUGGCUCGGGCUCUAAAGACAGCUCAAAUGCUCCCCUAUUUGGGCUAAAGAGUGAUGGCUCAUCAUUCCCUUCUUUCAACAUUGGUGCUACCAACAAUGGGAGUUCUGCCCCAUCACUCGCCACUGCAGCAGACGCACCGAAGAAAUUUGCCAUGUCAGAGGGCCCAGUUGAAACCGGCGAAGAGAACGAGAAGGCUGUAUUCACUGCUGACUCUGCUAUAUACGAGUACCUCGACGGCGGCUGGAAGGAAAGAGGAAGGGGUGAACUGAAGCUGAACAUCCCGGUAUCUGGCGGUGAGAGAUCUCGGCUCGUCAUGAGGGCCAAGGGCAACUACCGGCUCAUUCUGAAUGCAAGCCUUUACGACGACAUGACGCUGAAGGACAUGGACAAGAAGGGCGUGACGUUUGCUUGCAUCAACAGCAUCGGCGAAUCACCGAGUGGGCUCACCACAUUUGCUCUGAAGUUCAAGGAUACCGGCAUCCGGGAAGAUUUCAAGGCUGCAGUGGAGACGCACAAGGCGAAGAAGGCUUCGGACACGCCAAAGACUCCCGAGGGCUCCCCGAAGGCGUCCGACGUUUGA
rnacentral:rRNA from 1 species